GCAGGGGAGGCAGAGGCAGCAUACCAGGCUGUAUCCUGUGGAGAUAAGCAGAGCCCUGAAGUCAUCUGAGUCCAUGCUGCCUGUCUGCUUCUGCUCCCAGGACGCAGGCAUAUAGCAGAGGCCAGGCCCAGAUUAGGCCCCAUGUGCACAGCGGACAGACAGGACAAUGGAGAAGCAAGGAGACAGGAGGCCCAGAGACCAGAUGUGGCAGAUGAACCAGGGCCAAGAAGCUUGGGACAUGUGACAACUCUUUACAAUUACGCUGGUUGCUGCUCGACACCUGACCCUCUGAAGGGGUGGAACCCUAUGGGGUUUGUAGCACCAUGGGUUGCACUGUGGAAUGUAGAUGGGACCCUCUAAUUCUAGCACAACAACCCUCUCUACCCCGGUGAGCUGUCCCAAAAGGUGGCCUGGACUUGCUGCUCAGUGCUAGAGACCAGUUGAUCCCAGGGCCGUGCACAAGCUAGGCAAGCACUUUACCGGAGGAACAUCCCCAGCUUCAGCUCUUGCCUAAGUUGUAGCAUGGAAGACUCAUAUGAGACUCAAUUUGGAAAGCAGCUGCUUUGUUACAAGAUAUCUUAUGACAUGUUUACUUUAAAUCUUAAGUCAGUCUAUUAAAUCUAUUCCACUCC